AAGAACAUUCUAGAAUCCCAGGACUGGAAGGCCCUAUGGGACAUCCCAGGCACAUGCGAGGGACUGGGCACAUGGUGUGAACAAGACAUGGGUUAUCGGACACGGGUUAUCUACUGUCUUCUUUAGCUUCCUGGCUUGGCAGCAGGUACACACCUGGGUCUGAUCACCUGCCAGGAAGAACUGGGGGAUAGGAGUAGAAAGGAUGGCGACAAUCCUGCUUUAGGUUUUUGGGAAGCCAAGGUUUCAGUUCUGACCUAGACACAGAUCUCCUGUGUGACCACAGCCCUAGGUGCAGCCAUUGUCCAAGGACACCUGCCCUGGGCCAGACAUGUGGGAGGUGUUGCCAAACCUUGGCCGGGAGCCUUGCAGACAAGUUUCGCAGAGCUGCUAAUGAAUGGGGAAGGCAGUCUCCACAAUUAUCCUUAACAAGUGCAUUGGAGGCCCAGGCUCCAGCCUGCUCCUCAAGCUCCAGUGCAUGCCCCGCUGUCUGACUCUGGACUGGAUCUGCUGAGGGGCUCUGAAUGGUCAAGGUGGCUCCUUGGGACUCUCCCUCCCCCUCGUCGAGAUACCUGAGAUUUUGCCAUUAGAGGUUCAUUCUUUGGGAAGCAGGUCCUGCA